UACGUAGGUGGCAAGCGUUGUCCGGAUUUACUGGGCGUAAAGAGCGCGCAGGCGGUCGUUCAAGUCGCGUGUGAAAGCCCCCCGGGCUCAACUGGGGAGGGUCACGCGAUACUGAUCGACUCGAAGGCAGGAGAGGGUAGUGGAAUUCCCGGUGUAGUGGUGAAAUGCGUAGAUAAUCGGGAGGAACACCAGUGGCGAAGGCGACUACCUGGCCUGUUCUUGACGCUGAGGCGCGAAAGCUAGGGGAGCAAACGGG
rnacentral:rRNA from 1 species